GGGUGAUGACGUGCCAGCGGCGUGGGGAAUGAGGGGGGGGGAAGCGUGGGCCGGAUUUAUUGGGCGUAAAGAGCGUGUAGGCGGCCUGGCAGGUCGGCUGUGAAAACUCGAGGGUCAACCUCGAGAUGUCGGCGGAAACCGUCUGGCUAGAGUCCGGAAGAGGAGAGUGGAAUUCCUGGUGUAGCGGUGAAAUGCGCAGAUAUCAGGAAGAACACCUAUGGCGAAGGCAGCUCUCUGGGACGGUACUGACGCUGAGACGCGAAAGCGUGGGGAGCGAACAGGAUUAGAUACCCUUGAGUC
rnacentral:rRNA from 1 species